GAUGAAGAACGUAGCGAAAUGCGAUAAGUAAUGCGAAUUGCAGAAUCCGUGAGUCAUCGAAUCUUUGAACGCACAUCGCGCCCUCUGGUAUUCCGGAGGGCAUGCCUGUUCGAGCGUCAUUAUCACCCCUCAAGCCCGGCUUGUUGUUGGAUGCAGCGCUUAUCCCGCUCCUCCCAAAGAUAAUGACGGCGUCUGCGACGACUCCUGUACACUGAGCUUUCGGGCACGUACACGGCUAGAAGUCCAGACCCGGUCGCCGUCCCCCCCGCGGGGACACCCAUUACCACAAGGUUGACCUCGGAUCAGGUAGGAAUACCCGCUGAACUUAAGCAUAUCAAUAAGCGGAGGA
rnacentral:misc_RNA from 1 species